rnacentral:rRNA from 1 species
UACGUAGGGGGCAAGCGUUGUCCGGAUUUAUUGGGCGUAAAGAGCGUGUAGGCGGCUUGGUAGGUCCGCUGUGAAAACUCGAGGCUCAACCUCGAGAUGGCGGCGGAAACCACUUGGCUAGAGUCCGGAAGAGGAGAGUGGAAUUCCCGGUGUAGCGGUGAAAUGCGCAGAUAUCGGGAAGAACACCGAUGGCGAAGGCAGCUCGCUGGGACGGUACUGACGCUGAGGCGCGAAAGCGUGGGGAGCGAACAGG